CCUACGGGUGGCAGCAGUGGGGAAUAUUGCACAAUGGGCGCAAGCCUGAUGCAGCCAUGCCGCGCGUAUGAAGAAGGCCUUCGGGUUGUAAAAUACUUUCAGCGGGGAGGAAGGCGAUAAGGUUAAUAACCUUGUAGAUUGACGUUACCCGCAGAAGAAGCACCGGCUAACUCCGUGCCAGCAGCCGCGGUAAUACGGAGGGUGCAAGCGUUAAUCGGAAUUACUGGGCGUAAAGCGCACGCAGGCGUGCUGUCAAGUCGGAUGUGAAAUCCCCGGGCUCAACCUGGGAACUGCAUUCGAAACUGGCAGGCUAGAGUCUUGUAGAGGGGGGUAAAAUUCCAGGUGUAGCGGUGAAAUGCGUAGAGAUCUGGAGGAAUACCGGUGGCGAAGGCGGCCCCCUGGACAAAGACUGCCGCUCAGGUGCGAAAGCGUGGGGAGCAAACAGGAUUAGAUACCCGGGUAGUC
rnacentral:rRNA from 1 species